rnacentral:rRNA from 1 species
CGUGGGUAACCUGCCUUAUAGUGGGGGAUAGCCUUUCGAAAGGAAGAUUAAUACCGCAUAAGAUUGUAGUAUCGCAUGAUAUAGCAAUUAAAGGAGCAAUCCGCUAUAAGAUGGACCCGCGUCGCAUUAGCUAGUUGGUGAGGUGAUGGCUCACCAAGGCGACGAUGCGUAGCCGACCUGAGUGGGUGAUCGGCCACAUUGGGACUGAGACACGGCCCAGACUCCUACGGGAGGCAGCAUG